GAGAGAGAGAGAGAGAGGAUAAGAGGGAAAAAGUAAGCUCAAAAACUCAAAACUGCAACUCCAACCUCGAAGCUUAUAAUUGUGAUACGAAGUACGAAUGGCGGUUGCAGUCACGAGCUGUCGCCUCUCCCAGUUCACUUCUACCCUUAUAUUCCGUUCCUCUCUUAUUUCCCAACCCCGCUCCGCCACCUUGCAGAUAUCCAAUGGCUCUAUCACUCCCAAAGCCUCCAGUCACAGGAGCAGACCUUCAAAUCCUCAAAGAGGCUCCUCCUCCUCCUCAUCGUCCUCCAGUAAAUCCAGCGGAGAGAAGAAUAUUCCAGGAAGAUCAAAGGAUGGCAGGCCUAACUCAUAUGCUGAUGGAAAUGGUGGAAGAGAGGAUAUUGGGCGUGCUCAAUCAACAUCUGUUAAAUCAUUUGGCAAGCAAAGAAAAGACAAGAAGGACAUCCGUUUUGAUUUAAGGCAGCAGGUUGAACCAGAGAAUCUUCAAAAUUCAGCUUUUCUUAAUGCUGUUGUGAAGGUUUAUUGCACCCAUACUACCCCAGAUUAUUCCCUUCCUUGGCAAAAGCAAAGACAAUAUACAAGCACUGGAAGUGCUUUUAUAAUUGGGGAUGGGAAACUUUUGACAAAUGCACAUUGUGUUGAAUAUGAUACACAGGUCAAAGUUAAGAAAAGAGGAGAUGAUACAAAAUAUGUGGCUAAGGUUCUAGCCAGGGGUGUUGAUUGUGAUAUAGCUUUGCUUUCAGUAGAAAGCAAGGAGUUUUGGGAAGGAGCAGAAUCACUCAAUUUUGGGCGCUUGCCAUGUCUUCAGGAUGCAGUAACUGUUGUAGGAUACCCCCUCGGAGGGGACACCAUAUCUGUGACAAAAGGAGUGGUAUCACGUAUAGAGGUUACAUCAUAUGCUCAUGGGUCAUCCGAUUUGUUGGGAAUUCAAAUUGAUGCAGCAAUAAAUCCUGGUAAUAGUGGCGGCCCUGCAUUCAAUGAACAAGGGGAGUGCAUUGGAGUGGCAUUUCAGGUUUACAGAUCUGAAGCAGCUGAGAAUAUUGGAUAUGUGAUUCCAACUACAGUUGUUUCUCAUUUUCUUAAGGACUAUGAAAGGAAUGGGAAAUACACUGGUUUUCCUAGCCUUGGCAUAUUUUGGCAAAAGUUAGAGAAUCCGGCUCUACGUGCCUGCUUAAAGGUGCAGUCUAAUGAGGGGGUACUGGUACGGAGAGUUGAACCCAUUUCUGAUUCAAAUAAUGUCUUGAAGGAGGGGGAUGUCAUUGUAAGCUUUGAUGAUAUUCGUAUAGGAUGUGAAGGGACAGUGCCAUUCCGAUCAAGUGAGCGCAUUGCAUUUCGCUACCUCGUCAGCCAGAAAUUUGCUGGUGAUGUAGCAGAGCUUGGAAUAAUUAGAGCAGGAAAGUUGAUGGGAGUUAAUGUAGUUUUGAACCCACGAGUGCAUUUGGUUCCUUAUCAUAUUGAUGGAGAUCAACCUUCGUAUAUAAUAAUUGCUGGUUUUGUGUUUACCACACUCUCGGAACCACUGAUUGACGAGGAGAGUGAAGAUUCGAUAGGGUUGAAACUACUGGCAAAGGCAAGUUAUUCCUUAGCAAGGUUCAAAGGGGAACGGAUUGUGAUCUUAUCACAGGUCUUAGCAAACGAAGCAAACAUUGGAUAUGAGGAUAUGAGCAAUCAGCAAGUUUUGAAAUUCAAUGGAACUCGAAUAAAGAACAUCCAUCACCUGGCACACCUUAUUGAUUCAUGCAAGGACCAAGAUCUAGUUUUUGAGUUUGAAGACAAUUACAUUGCUGUUUUGGAGAGGAAAGCGGCGACUGCUGCUUUGCCAUGCAUUCUCAAAGAUUAUGGGAUUCCAUCAGAAAGAUCUUCUGAUUUGUUGGAGCCAUAUGUUGAUUUAUGGGGAGACAACCAAGCAAUAGAUCAGGACUUAAUUGGUGCAAGUCCGGUUUCAAAUUUGGAAAUUGGCAUAGAUGGUCUUCUCUGGACAUAAUUAACUUGCACCGAGAGGUUAAUUUUAUAAAUCGGCACUUCUUUACGGGUGAGAAAGCACAUGCUACCCGUGAUGAGAAUAAGGACAAAUCACUACAGACAGCCUUUAAAUCAAAUUUCAAAUUGUUGGUACCGUCAGGCCAAAAGCAUUUACAGCUACCCAAAAGACAAGAGAUGUGGGGUGGAUCUCAAUGCUCAAGUGCUAUUCUUUUUUUCUUUUAUUUAUUUAUUUAUUUUUUUUUGUCUUGACCUAUGAAGUUGUACCGAGAAGUAGUUGAUCCAGCAAGAAACAAAGAAGAAAAUAUUUAGAGUAACAGAACAUGAAGCCAAAUCCAAAUCACUCAAAUCGAUAUGUAGUGUUGGAAUGCUCAAUUUUGUUUUCCUCUCUGCCUGUUUUGUAAAGAUUGAAUUGUAACUUUCGUA